rnacentral:misc_RNA from 1 species
AAGUCGUAACAAGGUUUCCGUAGGUGAACCUGCGGAAGGAUCAUUAACACUUUAAUCCCAAUAUAAACAACUGAGAACAUGUACCUCUACCUGAGAAUAAAAUAUCGUCAACGUAUAGUGUAUGGUGAAAGUAGAGUUUACUCUACUAGCUAUUCAUUGACUAGAAGCCGCCGUCUCCUCGACGAGCUUCAGGUUUUUAUUUUUAGGCUAUUUUACGCCAUCACCAUGGUAUUUAACAAUAUUAACAACUAUAAUUAAAUUGAACUAAUCUAUGCUUCACUAGUAGAAAUACUAGUAGAAUCAAGUUUAUACGAAACUAAGAACAACUCUUAGCAAUGGAUAUCUUGGUUCCC